UACAGAGGGUGCGAGCGUUAAUCGGAAUUACUGGGCGUAAAGCGCACGUAGUCGGCUUUGCAAGUCGGGUGUGAAAUCCCCGGGCUCAACCUGGGAACUGCAUUCGAGACUGCAUUGCUAGAGUAUGGGAGAGGGAAGCGGAAUUUCUGGUGUAGCAGUGAAAUGCGUAGAUAUCAGAAGGAACAUCAGUGGCGAAGGCGGCUUCCUGGACCAAUACUGACGAUCAGGUGCGAAAGCGUGGGGAGCAAACAGG
rnacentral:rRNA from 1 species